rnacentral:ncRNA from 1 species
UAGAUACAAUGUAAACCUGGUGAAAAUCAGGGGCACAAAGCUAUAGGGUCUAAGAGGUCCCAGGGAACGGGGAUCACGUCCGGACGGAAAUAUCGGAAGCUUAUGACAGCCAGCUGCAAGG